UUCUUCAGGAGGAGGAUCGUGGGCUUCCAGACCGAGGUUGACCUGGUGAGAUGUGUACAUCCCUGAAAACUGGGAAGUGUUACAGUAGUAUGCCCUUUGCUGCAAGUGGUGCCGUCCCCAAGAGAACUGGUUAAGGCCGAGAAAGAAGGCGGUUUGGUGUUAGGAUUCUGGGAGCGCUCACACAAUGGAAGGAAGACCUGCGCUGCCAAAAGAAGGUUGCUGAUUACCAGAUGAGUUAUCUCUUAAGACCUGUCUCUCCCACUACACUACAACUUCCAAGAGGACACUUACCAGCUGGCCCCAGGAAAGGCUGCUGUCUCUCCCAAACUGGAUUGAGAGCUUCUGAAGGAUGGUGAUGGUGUCUUAUUCAGUCAUGGAAUGCCUGAAAUCUCCUAAAAUCACUAGGAUAUAGUAAGUGCUCCUAACUUACUGAAUAAAGAAUUGUAUAAAGA